rnacentral:rRNA from 1 species
CCCUUAGAUGUUCUGGGCUGCACGCGCGCUACACUGACGCACGCAACAGGUGCCUGCUCCGAGAGGACUGGGUAAUCAUUUGAGUGUGCGUCGUGAUGGGGAUAGAAUAUUGUAAUUAUUACUCUUCAACGAGGAAUUCCUAGUAAGCGCCAGUCAGCAGCUUGCGCUGAUUACGUCCCUGCCCUUUGUCCACACCGCCCGUCGCUCCUACCGAUGGGUGAUCCGGUGAAUGAUUCGGACUUCAGCGGCUCCCCUGGGGUGCGCCGGAGAAAGUUUUGUGAACCUUAUCACUUGGAGGAAGGAGAAGUCGUAACA